rnacentral:rRNA from 1 species
GGUCAAGCGAAUAAGGGUCCACGGAGGAUGCCUUGGAGCUGUUCGGCGAGGAAGGUCGUGGUAAGCUGCGAAAAGCCUGGGGGAGGAGCAAACAUCCGAUGAUCCCGGGAUUACCGAAUGGGGUAACCCGGCAGAGUAGACUCUCUGUCACUGCUGUGUGAAUAAACUAGCACAGUGGAGCGAUACCUGGGGAACUGAACCAUCUAAGUACCCGGAGGAAGAGAAAUCAAAUGAGAUUGCCUGAGUAGCGGCGAGCGAACGGGCAAGAGCCUAAACCGAAGUGCGUGCACUUCGGGGUUGUAGGGCGUACAGUAAAGUGUGCAUGGAAAUUAGGAGAACGGUAUUGGAAAAGCCGGCCAGAGAGGGUGAAAGCCCCGUAUCUGAAAAUGGAAGUGCAGAUGAGUGCGUACCUGAGUAGGACGGGACACGAGGAAUCCUGUCUGAAUCUGGGGGGACCACCCUCCAAGGCUAAAUACGAAACAGCUACCGAUAGCGAAUAGUACCGUGAGGGAACGGUGAAAAGCACCCCGGGAGGGGAGUGAAAUAGAACCUGAAACCGUGGACCUACAAGCGGUCAGAGCCCCGCUACUAAAUUACUCAAAAGAAGGAACAGUAAAAUGUAUUACGUAUAUGUACUGUUUAAUAAGAGGAAUCAAAAAGAUACCUAUGUUGGAUAUACGAACAACAUAGAACGUCGAGUAUUACAGCAUAAUGCCGGUGAAAAUGCUUCCACAAAAGGAAGGGAAUGGGAACUGGUAUACUAUGAAGCGUAUCUUAGUGAACAUAGUGCAAGAGAACGGGAGCGUAAACUCAAGCACGAUGGACGAGUAAAAAGGUAUCUUCUUGAGAGAGUAAGAAAACAAUUUGAGUAAUUUAGUAGCGGGGUGAUGGCGUGCCUUUUGUAGAAUGAGCCUGCGAGUUACCGUAUGUUGCGAGGUUAAGGUUUAGAAGAACCGAAGCCGGAGGGAAACCGAGUCUGAACAGGGCGUAUAGUAGCAUGUGGUAGACCCGAAGCCGAGUGAUCUAUCCAUGUCCAGGUUGAAGCUCUGGUAACACAGAGUGGAGGACCGAACCCUAGUCUGUUGAAAAAGGCAGGGAUGAGGUGUGGAUAGGAGUGAAAGGCUAAUCAAACUCGGAGAUAGCUGGCACUCCUCGAAAUAGCUUUAGGGCUAGCCUUGCGUUAGUUUACCGGAGGUAGAGCACUGAUUGGGCUAGGGCCUUUCACCGGGUACCAAACUCAGUCAAACUCCGAAUGCCGGCUAAAUGAUGCGCGGGAGUCAGACUACGGGUGACAAGAUUCGUGGUCGAAAGGGAAACAGCCCAGACCGUCAGCUAAGGUCUCAGAACUAUGCUUGAGUGGAAAAGGAAGUGCAACGGCGAAGACAGCCAGGAGGUUGGCUUAGAAGCAGCCAUACCUUUAAAGAGUGCGUAACAGCUCACUGGUCGAGUCGUUGUGCGCCGACAAUGUAACGGGGCUAAGCAUAGUACCGAAGCUACGGCUUGAUAGUUUACUAUCAGGGGUAGAGGAGCAUUCCAUGUACAGAUGAAGGUGUGUUGGAAGACAUGCUGGAUGGGAUGGAAGAGAGAAUGCAGGCAUGAGUAACGAAAAGACAGGUGAGAUCCCUGUCCGCCGAAAGCCUAAGGAUUCCAGGGUUAAGGUAAUCUGCCCAAGGGUUAGUCGGCCCCUAAGGCGAGGCCGAAAGGCGUAGUCGAUGGGAAACGGGUUAAUAUUCCCGUACCUCUUACAGGACUUAUGGAGUGACGCAUGAGGCGAAGCCGGGCCGGGCGAUGGUAGUCCCGGUCUAAGCACUAAGCUGAUGAUCUGUGUAGGCAAAUCCGCACAGAGAGGUGAGGUGUUAAGGCGAGAGACCCUACGGGGAAUCGAAGCUGGUGGAGUCAAGGUGCCGAGAAAGAACUUCUAAAGAUAUGCUGUAGGGGACCGUACCGCAAACCGACACAGGUAGGCGGGAAGAGUAUUCUCAGGCGCUCGGGAGAAUUCACGUUAAGGAACUCGGCAAAAUACACACGUAACUUCGGGAGAAGUGUGGCCCUGAAUGGAUGUCAAAGUUUGUUUGGGGUUGCAGAGAAAAGGUUCAAGCGACUGUUUACCAAAAACACAGGUCUCUGCGAAAUCGCAAGAUGAAGUAUAGGGACUGACACCUGCCCGGUGCCGGAAGGUUAAGAGGAGAUGUGAGAGCGUCGAAUUGAAGCCCCGGUAAACGGCGGCCGUAACUAUAACGGUCCUAAGGUAGCGAAAUUCCUUGUCGGGUAAGUUCCGACCCGCACGAAUGGUGUAACGACUUGAACGCUGUCUCAACGUGAAACCCGGUGAAAUUGAAGUAUCGGUGAAGAUGCCGAUUACCUGUGGUUAGACGGAAAGACCCCGUGAACCUUUACUGCAGCUUGGCAUUGAAAUGUGGCCUGUGAUGUGUAGGAUAGGAGGGAGACUGAGAGUCGUGGUCGCUAGGCUGCGAGGAGUCGUUGGUGAAAUACCUCCCUUUGCCGGUUAUAUUUCUAACGGUGUCCAUGAACCUGGGCACUGGACAAUGUCAGGUGGGCGGUUUGACUGGGGCGGUCGCCUCCAAAAGAGUAACGGAGGCGCGCGAAGGUAACCUCGCGUUGGUUGGAAAUCAACGUACGAGUGCAAAGGCACAAGGUUGCUUGACUGCGAGACGUACAUGUCGAGCAGGUACGAAAGUAGGUCUUAGUGAUCUGGCGGUUCUGAGUGGAAGGGCCGUCACUUAACGGACAAAAGGUACUCCGGGGAUAACAGGCUGAUUUUGCCCAAGAGUUCAUAUCGACGGCAAAGUUUGGCACCUCGAUGUCGGCUCAUCGCAUCCUGGGGCUGGAGCAGGUCCCAAGGGUAUGGCUGUUCGCCAUUUAAAGCGGUACGCGAGCUGGGUUCAGAACGUCGCGAGACAGUUCGGUCCCUAUCUGCCACAGGCGUUGGAUGUUUGAGAGGAUCUGUUCUUAGUACGAGAGGACCGGAAUGGACGAACCUCUGGUGUACCAGUUAUCCUGCCAAGGGUACGUGCUGGGUAGCCAAGUUCGGCCGGGAUAACCGCUGAAGGCAUCUAAGUGGGAAGCCCCCCUCGAGAUGAGACAUCCCAUCACCUUUAAGGUGACAUAAGACCCCAGAGAGAAGAUCUGGUUGAUAGGCCGGCGGUCUACGCAUGGUAACAUGUUGAGCUGACCGGUACUAAUAGGUCGAGAGGCUUGACCAU